rnacentral:rRNA from 1 species
CCUACGGGAGGCAGCAGUAGGGAAUCUUCCGCAAUGGACGAAAGUCUGACGGAGCAACGCCGCGUGAGUGUAUGAAGGCUUUCGGGUCGUAAAACUCUGUCUGUUAGGGAAGAACAAGUACAGAGUAACUGCUCGUACCUUGACGGUACCUAACCAGAAAGCCACGGCUAACUACGUGCCAGCAGCCGCGGUAUUACGUAGGUGGCAAGCGUUAUCGGAAUUAUUGGGCGUAAAGCGCGCGCAGGCGGUUUCUUAAGUCUGAUGUGAAAGCCACGGCUCACCGUGGAGGGUCAUUGGAAACUGGGAACUUGAGUGCAGAAGAGAAAAGCGGAAUUCCACGUGUAGCGGUGAAUGCGUAGAGAUGUGAGGAACACCAGUGGCGAAGGCGGCUUUUUGGUCUGUACUGACGCUGAGCGCGAAAGCGUGGGGAGCAAACAGGAUUAGAUACCUGGUAGUCACGCCGUAAACGAUGAGUGCUAAGUGUUAGAGGUUUCCGCCCUUUAGUGCUGCAGCUAACGCAUUAAGCACUCGCCUGGGGAGUACGGUCGCAAGACUGAAACUCAAAGGAAUUGACGGGGGCACACGCGACAUAUGCUCUGGACACUGGAGGCAUGUGGUUUAAUUCGAAGCAACGCGAAGAACCUUAC